rnacentral:rRNA from 1 species
UACCAGCACCCCGAGUGGUCGGGACGUUUAUUGGGCCUAAAGCAUCCGUAGCCGGUUCUACAAGUCUUCCGUUAAAUCCAGCUGCUUAACAGAUGGGCUGCGGAAGAUACUAUGGAGCUAGGAGGCGGGAGAGGGCAAGCGGUACUCGAUGGGUAGGGGUAAAAUCCGUUGAUCCAUUGAAGACCACCAGUGGCGAAGGCGGCUUGCCAGAACGCGCUCGACGGUGAGGGAUGAAAGCUGGGGGAGCAAACCGGG